rnacentral:rRNA from 1 species
GAUGAACGCUGGCGGCGUGCCUGAUACAUGCAAGUCGAGCGAACGGACGAGAAGCUUGCUUUUCUGAUGUUAGCGGCGGACGGGUGAGUAACACGUGGAUAACCUACCUAUAAGACUGGGAUAACUUCGGGAAACCGGAGCUAAUACCGGAUAAUAUUUUGAACCGCAUGGUUCAAAAGUGAAAGACGGUCUUGCUGUCACUUAUAGAUGGAUCCGCGCUGCAUUAGCUAGUUGGUAAGGUAACGGCUUACCAAGGCAACGAUGCAUAGCCGACCUGAGAGGGUGAUCGGCCACACUGGAACUGAGACACGGUCCAGACUCCUACGGGAGGCAGCAGUAGGGAAUCUUCCGCAAUGGGCGAAAGCCUGACGGAGCAACGCCGCGUGAGUGAUGAAGGUCUUCGGAUCGUAAAACUCUGUUAUUAGGGAAGAACAUAUGUGUAAGUAACUGUGCACAUCUUGACGGUACCUAAUCAGAAAGCCACGGCUAACUACGUGCCAGCAGCCGCGGUAAUACGUAGGUGGCAAGCGUUAUCCGGAAUUAUUGGGCGUAAAGCGCGCGUAGGCGGUUUUUUAAGUCUGAUGUGAAAGCCCACGGCUCAACCGUGGAGGGUCAUUGGAAACUGGAAAACUUGAGUGCAGAAGAGGAAAGUGGAAUUCCAUGUGUAGCGGUGAAAUGCGCAGAGAUGUGGAGGAACACCAGUGGCGAAGGCGACUUUCUGGUCUGUAACUGACGCUGAUGUGCGAAAGCGUGGGGAUCAAACAGGAUUAGAUACCCUGGUAGUCCACGCCGUAAACGAUGAGUGCUAAGUGUUAGGGGGUUUCCGCCCCUUAGUGCUGCAGCUAACGCAUUAAGCACUCCGCCUGGGGAGUACGACCGCAAGGUUGAAACUCAAAGGAAUUGACGGGGGCCCGCACAAGCGGUGGAGCAUGUGGUUUAAUUCGAAGCAACGCGAAGAACCUUACCAAAUCUUGACAUCCUUUGACGACUCUAGAGAUAGAGCCUUCCCCUUCGGGGGACAAAGUGACAGGUGGUGCAUGGUUGUCGUCAGCUCGUGUCGUGAGAUGUUGGGUUAAGUCCCGCAACGAGCGCAACCCUUAAGCUUAGUUGCCAUCAUUAAGUUGGGCACUCUAAGUUGACUGCCGGUGACAAACCGGAGGAAGGUGGGGAUGACGUCAAAUCAUCAUGCCCCUUAUGAUUUGGGCUACACACGUGCUACAAUGGACAAUACAAAGGGCAGCGAAACCGCGAGGUCAAGCAAAUCCCAUAAAGUUGUUCUCAGUUCGGAUUGUAGUCUGCAACUCGACUACAUGAAGCUGGAAUCGCUAGUAAUCGUAGAUCAGCAUGCUACGGUGAAUACGUUCCCGGGUCU